rnacentral:rRNA from 1 species
CCUACGGGAGGCAGCAGUGGGGAAUAUUGGACAAUGGGCGGAAGCCUGAUCCAGCCAUGCCGCGUGUGUGAAGAAGGCCUUUUGGUUGUAAAGCACUUUAAGCGAGGAGGAGGCUACUAGUAUUAAUACUACUGGAUAGUGGACGUUACUCGCAGAAUAAGCACCGGCUAACUCUGUGCCAGCAGCCGCGGUAAUACAGAGGGUGCGAGCGUUAAUCGGAUUUACUGGGCGUAAAGCGUGCGUAGGCGGCUGAUUAAGUCGGAUGUGAAAUCCCUGAGCUUAACUUAGGAAUUGCAUUCGAUACUGGUCAGCUAGAGUAUGGGAGAGGAUGGUAGAAUUCCAGGUGUAGCGGUGAAAUGCGUAGAGAUCUGGAGGAAUACCGAUGGCGAAGGCAGCCAUCUGGCCUAAUACUGACGCUGAGGUACGAAAGCAUGGGGAGCAAACAGGAUUAGAUACCCUGGUAGUCCAUGCCGUAAACGAUGUCUACUAGCCGUUGGGGUCUUUGAGACUUUAGUGGCGCAGCUAACGCGAUAAGUAGACCGCCUGGGGAGUACGGCCGCGAAGACUAAAACUCAAAUUGAAAUUGACGGCGNGAGAGNGCGACGGCGACGAGAGGGAGAGG